GGAUAACAGGUUGAUAUUCCUGUACCACCUAUAAUCGUUUUAAUCGAUGGGGGGACGCAGUAGGAUAGGCGAAGCGUGCGAUUGGAUUGCACGUCUAAGCAGUAAGGCUGAGUAUUAGGCAAAUCCGGUACUCGUUAAGGCUGAGCUGUGAUGGGGAGAAGACAUUGUGUCUUCGAGUCGUUGAUUUCACACUGCCGAGAAAAGCCUCUAGAUAGAAAAUAGGUGCCCGUACCGCAAACCGACACAGGUAGUCAAGAUGAGAAUUCUAAGGUGAGCGAGCGAACUCUCGUUAAGGAACUCGGCAAAAUGACCCCGUAACUUCGGGAGAAGGGGUGCUCUUUAGGGUUAACGCCCAGAAGAGCCGCAGUGAAUAGGCCCAAGCGACUGUUUAUCAAAAACACAGGUCUCUGCUAAACCGUAAGGUGAUGUAUAGGGGCUGACGCCUGCCCGGUGCUGGAAGGUUAAGAGGAGUGGUUAGCUUCUGCGAAGCUACGAAUCGAAGCCCCAGUAAACGGCGGCCGUAACUAUAACGGUCCUAAGGUAGCGAAAUUCCUUGUCGGGUAAGUUCCGACCCGCACGAAAGGCGUAACGAUUUGGGCACUGUCUCAACGAGAGACUCGGUGAAAUCAUAGUACCUGUGAAGAUGCAGGUUACCCGCGACAGGACGGAAAGACCCCGUGGAGCUUUACUGUAGCCUGAUAUUGAAAUUCGGCACAGCUUGUACAGGAUAGGUA
rnacentral:rRNA from 1 species